UCCCUGGUGGCUCAGAUGGUAAAGCAUCUGCCUGCAAUGCGGGAGACCAGGGUUCGAUUCCUGGGUCGGGAA
rnacentral:tRNA from 1 species